CAAAGGCAGCCCGACGGAGCCCUCAAAAACGAAGGUGCAAAGGACUGCACGGUGAAUUCAGUAAACAAGGUUGGCUGUUUGCAUCAACAAUAAGAAAGUCAAAGAUUCAGAUGUAGAAGAAAACGCAGCUCAAGUGAAAGGAAGUGGAAAUAUAAAUUAAACCAAUAAAGAACUUCAAGAUGAACUUGAGAAGAGGAAAUGCUGUCAGAAGUAAAUGAAAGGAAAUGCUACAAUGAGCAUCAUUGUAAAUAUUUUCUCAGGC
rnacentral:lncRNA from 13 species